AGAAGAAGAAGAAGAAGAAGAAUUGUUAAAGAGCGUCACAGCUGUACAAGUGGUCAUCCAUCAAUUCAAUUAUUUGAAAUAGCCUAUUAUCAUAAAAAAAUCAACGGUUCUUUUCAGAGCCAUAUUCUUCUUCCUACUCUCUUUCACCCCUCUCAUUUUCUUGUCUUUUGUUUUGUUUUUCUCCCUCGCUGUAUGUCAGUUCAUCCUUUGUUUGUUGUUGCCCUUUUCACCCUCACUUAAAAAUGGCAUCCAAGCAACUGAAUGAAUGGCUAGAGGCGGGGAAAGCCCUCUCAGAUGAGUUGGCAAA